GAUGAAGAACGCAGCGAAAUGCGAUACGUAAUGUGAAUUGCAGAAUUCAGUGAAUCAUCCAGUCUUUGAACGCACAUUGCGCCCCCUGGUAUUCCGGGGGGCAUGCCUGUCCGAGCGUCAUUGCUGCCCUCAAGCACGGCUUGUGUGUUGGGCCUCCGUCCUCCUCCCGGGGGACGGGCCCGAAAGGCAGCGGCGGCACCGCGUCCGGUCCUCGAGCGUAUGGGGCUUCGUCACCCGCUCUUGUAGGCCCGGUCGGCGCUUGCCGACACAUCAAUCUUUUUUCCAGGUUGACCUCGGAUCAGGUAGGGAUACCCGCUGAACUUAAGCAUAUCAAUAAGCGGAGGA
rnacentral:misc_RNA from 1 species